ACACAUGCAAGUCGAGGGGCAGCGCGGGAUAGCAAUAUCCUGGCGGCGACCGGCGGAAGGGUGCGUAACGCGUGAGCGACAUGCCCGUUGCCCGGGGACAACCGGUGGAAACGCCGACUAAUCCCCGAUGGGAUAUUGUGCCGCAUGGCACGAUAUUGAAAGUUACGGCGGCGACGGAUUGGCUCGCGUCCGAUUAGCUUGUUGGCGGGGUAACGGCCCACCAAGGCUACGAUCGGUAGGGGUCCUGAGAGGAAGGCCCCCCACAAUGGGACUGAGACACGGCCCAUACUCCUACGGGAGGCAGCAGUGAGGAAUAUUGGUCAAUGGGCGGAAGCCUGAACCAGCCAUGCCGCGUGCGGGAAGGAGGCCCUAUGGGCUGUGAACCGCUUUUGCCUGGGGGCAAUAAGGGCGUCGCGCACGCCCGAUGAGAGUACCAGGCGAAUAAGCAUCGGCUAACUCCGUGCCAGCAGCCGCGGUAAUACGGGGGAUGCGAGCGUUAUCCGGAUUCAUUGGGUUUAAAGGGUGCGUAGGCUGUGCGUCAAGUCGGGGGUGAAAUUCCGGUGCUCAACACCGGGGCUGCCCUUGAUACUGUCGCGCUGGAGUGCGGAUGCCGCCGGAGGAAUGAGUGGUGUAGCGGUGAAAUGCUUAGAUAUCACUCAGAACACCGAUUGCGAAGGCAUCUGGCGAAUCCGUAACUGACGCUGAGGCACGAAAGCGUGGGGAUAGAACAGGAUUAGAUACCCUGGUAUUCCACGCCGUAAACGAUGAUGGCUAACCGCCGGCGACACACUGUCGGUGGCCAAGCGAAAGCGAUAAGCCAUCCACCUGGGGAGUACGUCGGCAACGAUGAAACUCAAAGGAAUUGACGGGGGCCC
rnacentral:rRNA from 1 species